AUAUUGGACAAUGGGUGAGAGCCUGAUCCAGCCAUCCCGCGUGCAGGAAGACGGCCCUAUGGGUUGUAAACUGCUUUUAUAUGGGAAUAAACCAUCCGACGUGUCGGAUGUUGAAGGUACCAUAUGAAUAAGCACCGGCUAACUCCGUUCCAGCAGCCGCGGUAAUACGGAGGGUGCAAGCGUUAUCCGGAUUUAUUGGGUUUAAAGGGUCCGCAGGCGGACUUGUAAGUCAGGGGUGAAAGCCGGCAGCUUAACUGUCGAACUGCCUUUGAUACUGCAAGUCUUGAGUGAGGUUGAAGUAGCUGGAAUGAGUAGUGUAGCGGUGAAAUGCAUAGAUAUUACUCGGAACACCAAUUGCGAAGGCAGGUUACUAAGUCUUAACUGACGCUGAGGGACGAAAGCGUGGGGAGCGAACAGG
rnacentral:rRNA from 1 species